UACGAAGGGUGCAAGCGUUAAUCGGAAUUACUGGGCGUAAAGCGUGCGUAGGUGGUUUGUUAAGUCUGAUGUGAAAGCCCUGGGCUCAACCUGGGAAUGGCAUUGGAUACUGGCUUACUAGAGUGCGGUAGAGGGUAGCGGAAUUUCCGGUGUAGCGGUGAAAUGCGUAGAGAUCGGAAGGAACAUCCGUGGCGAAGGCGGCUACCUGGACCAGCACUGACACUGAGGCACGAAAGCGUGGGGAGCAAACAGG
rnacentral:ncRNA from 2 species